UAGCUCAGUCAGUUGGAGCGUGGUGCUGCUAACACCAAGGCCGUGGGUUCGAUCCCCAU
rnacentral:tRNA from 1 species